UUUGAGUCUACAAGCUCAGCUAGGGGAAAAGAACAAAUUGGAAUGGAACAGUUUCCAAACAGUGAAGGAGGUUUUUCCAAACUCAUCCCUAACUGAACAUGAGGAUGAAUUGGCAUUAGGCGAACACAGUCAGUUAUUCAGUCUACCACCUGACAGUGUGUUAAAGUUAAAUUCUGUUAGUGCUGCACUAAAAGAAUUGUUAGUAAUAAGUCCAUGCAGGGAAGGAAUUGAACAAUUGUGGGACCGUAUUUGGGCCAAAAAUGGGUGUGGUACGGAAACCCAGAAAUAGCAUGAGUUAAACAUAAAACAUGAAUUAGAAUUCUAGUGGGGGAUCAAGUCAAGUCUAGAAGUGUUACAGGAUGGAAGAGUGAGCCUACAGUUGAAAAACACUGAAAGUGCAUUACCAUUAAGAGUGUUGGUGAAGCUGGGUACUUAAAUGGCCCUAAAGAUGUUUCACUUCACUGGCAUUGCAGCGAUGAACAUCAUACAUGGACUCUUUAGGAAAGGAUUUUCAGCAUACUGGGAACACAACUAUCAACAAUGCAACAUUCUAGGGGUGUUAUUUUAUCCUUCAAGAGCCUUAUACAAUGAUUUUCAUCUACAAUUUGUAUGGCCUUUCCCGAGCUUCUGCCAGAAGUUGAAUCUAUGAGUCAUGUAAGUCACAUGAGCAACAAUUGAGAUGCUUAAUGGUGUUGUUUUUCUUUUCUCAGUGUAGGUUAAUAGUAACAUUGGAUCUGAAAAAAUUCUUGGUUGGGGCAUGACACU